GGCCUCCUGGUGCUUACCACAGGCUGUGUUGUUACACUGACUGUAUAGAAAAAGGAGGCAGAGUAAAUCUACCCUGUGUACACCUCAGUCCAGGUCCUGUGCCUGGCCUGUAUUGUGAAUGGGGGGACAGGA
ensembl:snoRNA